rnacentral:rRNA from 1 species
UCCGCAGGCUGUCAAUUAAGUCAGAGGUGAAAUACCAUAGCUCAACUAUGGAACUGCCUUUGAUACUGGUUGACUUGAGUCAUAUGGAAGUAGAUAGAAUGUGUAGUGUAGCGGUGAAAUGCAUAGAUAUUACACAGAAUACCGAUUGCGAAGGCAGUCUACUACGUAUGUACUGACGCUGAGGGACGAAAGCGUGGGGAGCGAACAGGAUUAGAUACCCUGGUAGUCC